AAUAGUUUACUUAGGAGCCCAUCUUGCUCCGUUUGUUUAACUUUCACAGGAUAAAGCAGUCAUGUCUUGAUGAACUACGAUGACGGGAAUUGAUGUUCCUUCCUGAGCGUGAAGCUGGCGUAGGAUAAUGAUUUAUCAUAUGUCCUUCACCUUUGAUGAACGUUCUUUACUUCCUUGUGGAGUAUUGAGGGAGGGAACAUGAUCAGAGUAGU